UUACGGUCAUAUCGCAGAGAAACACCGGUUCCCGUUCGAUCACUGAAGAUAAGUAACAUCACGCCUAGUUAGUACCUAGAUGGGGGG